GAGAGAAAAGGGCGAGUGGCCGGCAGCCGCCUGAGACUGCCGUUUUCUGGUGAAUACUUCUGUCCUAUCGAAUAUCAUCAAUUGGUUUUUGUUUUGUUUUACUUUUAAUUGUUAAAUGUUAUAUGAUGUUUGAAUAAAACUAAUGGUUAUUUAUUGUGAGGAUAAUACAGAUGUGAAGGAAUACGAAAAGAUGCACAUAACGCUGACAAGGCAGACAUUAUAUAAAUAAAUGGUGUCUGCUUCAAAAAAAUACCAAUUUGCUGAUGCACAAAAGCACCACCACCACAGCCAAAAACAGGCCGCGUCAUAUUUGUACAAGCUUCUCCUUUGGUUGAAUUUUAGGUGCUGAAGUCCCCGUCUAUUUGAAUCAAAAGGACCCAGUUAGACCAUUAAUUGACUAACUGAUUGUUGAAUGCAAGGUGCUUACUUGGUAAAAUCUAUUUAGUAUCCACAGAUUGUAAGCAAGUUAUUUCCCCUUGAAUCAGUCCAGCAGUCCGAUUCCACUUCAUAAAAUAUCAUCCUUGAUGAAAGUAGAAGUUAUAGGGAAUGACCUUUGUGACAGUCGGAGAAGCAUACCUCAAUUUUUUAAAUGUAGAACUGGAGAGGUACAUAGGGAGGCUGCGUCCAAUUCAAUUUAUCAACUAUGCAUGAUCCAUACCCAACUAUGCAGCGAAGACACGAAUGGGUGAAAGAGAAACAACAGUGAGACGAGAAG
rnacentral:lncRNA from 1 species